UACGAAGGGGGCUAGCGUUGCUCGGAAUCACUGGGCGUAAAGCGCACGUAGGCGGAUUUUUAAGUCAGGGGUGAAAUCCUGGAGCUCAACUCCAGAACUGCCUUUGAUACUGGAAAUCUCGAGUCCGGAAGAGGUGAGUGGAACUGCGAGUGUAGAGGUGAAAUUCGUAGAUAUUCGCAAGAACACCAGUGGCGAAGGCGGCUCACUGGUCCGGUACUGACGCUGAGGUGCGAAAGCGUGGGGAGCAAACAGGG
rnacentral:rRNA from 1 species